rnacentral:lncRNA from 1 species
ACGUGCUAAUUUUAUAAUUUGGAAAAGCAUUAUUUGAAAAUAAAGUUUGCUGUCUUAAAGUAUCGGCAAAAUGGAAUUAGAUUAAAAUUAUUCUUAAAUAAUAAACUUUAGCCUAUCUUAAUGCUAACUUUUAGCAACAAACCAAUUUGCAUUUUAAAAGUUUGUUUUGCAAACACACUGAGGUAUAACAAACAAAAGAUGUUCUUUACUAAUGUAUUUUUUACAGAUGAGCUUAUUUUUAACUCCACAGACUUAAUAAAAUAAAUAAUGGCUCUGUCCAUAUCAACCUUUCAGAAGGUGUGAGCACAAGCUAAAAUAUACAUGAGUUUCUGUAAGUUUUCAUGACUUUGCAGCAUCUUAAGGUUUUAAAAUAGAAUAGCCCGUGAAAAGAGAAGAGUACUAAACGGAAAAAUUAGUACUGGCCUAGGAAGUGAUUCACAUGAGAAAGUGAAUUCUUGAAGCCUAAUUUACAAAUGCCUAUGGAAUCGCAUAACACAGCUCAUUACACCUGGAUUUCGAUGUAACAGAGUAGAUCUGACAAAGAAUCAAAGACCUUUAAGCUGAAAGCUUCUUUAUUUUGCAGGGGAGGACAUGAACUUUGCAAAUGAGGAGCCAGAAAGAACUGACUUGCUCAAGGUCACAUGACUUAUAACUCAGGUUUCCUGACUUAUUAGUUCACUGGCUCAGGAACAGCCACUACUCAGCUAAGACAUGGUAUUGUUUCGGACUUCAUCUCACAUAUGUAAUGAAAAUCUCUGUGUCAAUGAAUCACCUAGACCAAGUUCCUGUUAAUUUCACAAGAGUUCCUGGAAGCAAAGAUGUGACGGUAUCAGAAAGAAACUCAUGAUAGCCCAAGGACCACAGUUACAUCUCAUCUAGCCUUGCCUUUUCCUCUUUGGGAAAGGAAAUCUAAUUGCUCUGGAGACACAACCAUAACACUGACCUUCCUUUUUUCCUGAGUAGAGGAGAAUUAAAUAAACCCUGGGACUUCUCACUUGAAACAGAACAUCAACACCCAUUAAAAGUCUGUCUACUGCACAGUUAACCUAUCUUAGAAGAGUUAGUGCCUCUUCAGGCACUAGCAGAAAACAAAGCUUCCAAAUCAUUAUCAGGAUGGCCCUUCACUGCAAAGACUCUAUGUUUAAAUGUUUCAUUUACUUGCAGCAUGCUAAUUGCCACUAGACCCCACUUGCCAAUUGAUAAACAGGUGUCAAGCAUAACACUGGAUUUAGAAGGCCAUAUCUGUCAUCUUACAAUGAUAUUCUACUUAAUAAAUUCAUCAUCACUGACUUAGCCACUUGCUACAAAGCUAUCAGAGUUGAAUGUAAAGAAGCUGGAAAAACAUUCGCUGAAUUUCCUAUCCAAAUAUAACCACCAUCUUGGUCAGACACAUGGGCUCUUUGAUAUGAGAUAUGAAGAAGAUAUCCUCAGCUAGUUCGCUCAAUUCAGCAGCAACAUAAUAAAGAAGAAAAUGAAAUGUAAGUUCUUUUUGCAACUGUAAGGCACUGAAACAAGUUUUAGAGAUAAACUGAAAAAUAAAAGAAGGUGAUUUCUUCUAAGCAGUAGGAAGGUGAGUUUUUAGUUUUCUCAUUUAUAAGGAAGAAGGAAGCAAUUCUAACUACCUAGACUGAUAAAAAGGUAGGUGAACAAUAAUUUCUUUCCAUUUUCAGAUUGCAGCAACCUCAAGAUAUUUCAUUUCUAUAAUGCAUAACCAUAAAAACUGAGGGAACCACAAUCCAAGCUGAUUGCUAAACAAAGUAUUAAGAUAGAUCAUGAGAAUAUGCAUUAAAACACAGUCCUGAAGAACUGCUCUUCUGCCAGAGCUUAGUUAUGGACGUGAUUUUGUUUUUUGAAGUUAGUCUGUUCAUGUUGUUAUACUAAGAAUCAGUUAUUUUCCAAAGAUUUAAUUCUAGGGUGGGAAAUAAUUUCUUAUCCAAAGCCACAGAAUCUCAGAGAAAACAAAGGCUCUACGCAAAAACAGGAAAUUAUUUAGAAUCAUAGAGUGAUAUAAUUUUAAUAACUUGAAGGACAUUUUAAGAAAUUACAUAACAUUUA